rnacentral:lncRNA from 1 species
GAAAGAAUUCUGGCUCCGAGGGCCGGUGUACAGUGCUUUAAAUAUGGCAGUGGUUAUGUGUGAAAUUAUCGUGUUUUUCUGUUUAACCUGUUUCUUGUCUCUUCAUCGCCUUUCUAUAUAAUGUAAGACCAGAGGCUUUAUGUAGUGAAUUCCCUGUAACCCCGGCUGCUUGGACAGAUAGGUGACUCUGAAGCAGAACUCUUGAGAUGGAAGGAUUGUCAUCUGAGGAAAAAAAAUCAAGAUUAAGAGAGGAGGAACUAGAAUGAGAUUCACAUACCGUCUCUCCUCCAAGGGAAGGAGAGAGUGGUGAUGCCUGCCCACUCCUUCCUGGGCAGAACAUUUGUAGCAUGGAACAUUGGAGAAUUUGCAGUCUGCUGACUUUCUGAUUUAGGAGGUUGAUGGGGAGGCCUUAUAAUUUGCAUUUCUAACAAGUUCUGAGGUGAUGCUUCAAGUAUGUCCAGGCAGAAGGGCUGCCUCACAGAGAAUUCUGCCAUACCACAUGGGAAUUGAAGUCACAGACAUCUCUAACCCUCAAGCCUGAAACCAAAAGACUGAAAACCAACACUACAGUGGACAAAGAACAUCUCUGAACUUGUGUGGGGACCAGUGACACAAGGACCUAAGGUCUCUCUCUUCUCAUCUUGGCACUUCAGAAGUCUCCCCAAUCUUGACAAAGCCCUGGAGAAAGGGCCGGGCCUCCCGUUGAUAAGAAUAUCACUGCAGAUAAAUGGAGGUUUCAAAUUGAAAGAAAGGAGGAGGGCCUCCUGUUGAUAAGAUUAUUGUCACUGCAGGUAAAUGGAGGCUUCAAAUAGAAAUACAUUUCAGUUACAGAAAAAAAAAUUAUCUUUGUUACACAUUUGAGUUUGCAGGCCUAAGGUUACUCCCGCUACACUAUCAUCUGUAACCAUAACGCACUCAACAUUUUAAGCUAACUAUAAGGAUUGUUGCUUCACUCAAAGAUCCUGAGGUUUUAUUCACUAACAUUUUUAUUUGGUGACUAUAGUUGACAAGAACAAAGCUGUGGGGAACCAACAAACACUGCAAUGCCUGGCAUUGUCACCUCACUAGAUUGUGAGUUCCUCUGGGACAGGGUCCGUACAUUUUCUUAGAAUCCCUCACUUAGCCAUUAGCCUGCACAGUGCUUGUACUUAGUAAGUGCUCAGUAAAUGUUUGUGGAAUGAAUGCAUGAUGAACAAAAUAUAUACUGAGGACUCUUGGUGUUGAUUCUUGUUGAUAAUGUAAUAGUUAAGAUAUGUUAUAAAUAUGUU